CCUUCUCGUCUCAGACAUUCAGUCUGAAGCCACAGGUGAAGAACCCAGCUCACUGGAAUAACUGCUUGAGUUGGGUGCUAACUUCUGCUGAGCAAACCUUACAGCAGGAUUUUGUUCCAGGUAAAGAUUUCCUUCCAUGAUAAAGAUAAGCCAAAGCAAAGAAGGAAGAAACUAAGCAGUUUUUGUACUGAGCUAUCAGGCUGCCUUUGCUUCAAGAACAGGACCAAAUAGUUUGUAGAACUGUAAGCAGAUGGAAAUAUACUUGGUCCAGGUUAAGGUGGUACAAACUAUCAAACAGCUCCUAAGACUGAAAUUUUUUGUACAACUCGAGUGGAUCAAACCUGUGAUCCUGACUUGGACUCUAGCAGAGACUCUGAGGGAAAUUGUCCCUGGAAGAAGGAUUUUGCCCCCUCCAGCCAAGCCAUUGGCAGAGACACUGGAAUGCAAAGCUCUUAAGGCUGUGUGACUGCACUGAAGUGCCUCCUCUGAGAGUCCUGGACAUGGCACAGUGCCUUUGGGUCCGCUUCCCCAGCAGCUCCUUGUGAGACAGGAUAUUUCCUCAGCAAUGUUUGUUGGUAUUUACACAGUGAGUUCAGACAGUGACUGGCCAUAGCUCCUAUCAAACCACAAUUGUUGAAGUGACACUUCAGAUCCUCUGUCUGAUACACUGCCAUUGAGAGAGACAGACAGAAUUCCCAUUAAGGCUUGCUUUAGGCAGGAUAUCCAAGGCUUCUGGCUGUAAAAAGAUGGAACAAGCCUGCACACUAAUACUACUCUGUCUAAUAUUUCCCAUUUGGACAUGAUCCCCAAAAUAUCAUAAGUGAAGAAGUGACAAUAAACAUGCUUUGCACAAUUUUAAGGAAAAGAGCUUUGGUCUGAUUCCAGAUAUCGUCAGCAGGAUGAACACAAAGGACAACAUUUAGUUAUAGAUUAAUAAUCCAAGUACAAAUAGUUCUGAACAAAUAGAAAAAACAUAAACCCACAAUAUUAAGCAAACCACAGGACAAAGAUCACUCAAUUCUCAGAGCUAUAUUAUUUUUAAGUGGGGAAACAAACUAUACAGAAGUCAUUGAACUCUGUGAUGUCAAUAUCAAGGUGAACCAGCCUGAAUGAAACGUGCCACAAAGAGUUAUGAAAUGUAAAAUCCAAGUAAAGCAUGUGGAGUUUACAUGAGCAGCAGUGAACUCACUGAACCAGAAAAUGGACAUUUUUUCCACAAAUUCUCAUACUUCUUUAAGCUGGAAAGUAUAGUGCAAAGUUAUACAUCAAAUAAUCCAGAAAAAUCUCACAAGAAAACAAAUUAUCUAUUACAUUCUUAUGUUACUGUAAUAUGUUAAUGCCACUAGAAUCAACUUGAAUUAUCUAAUCCUCUGCUUGCAAGACUUUACCUAAAAUAAGUAAUUAAUUGUUCAAUUUUCUAUCAGUAGAUGAAGAAAGCAAGAGACAGAAAUAUUUUCCCUGCCAGGAAAACAGCAACACUUUUCUCUGGAGAGACACAUUUUGAGCUAUUGCAUAAACUCCCACUCACACAGUCUGGUUUUGCAUUGUGUUUUUCAGCUGGUCAUCCUGUAGCUCAUGCAUCAUUACCACUGAAGAAUUAUUAUAAGUUAAAUGCAGUACAGGCCAGAACUAUCAUGUAAAACCUGCUCAUUCACUCUUCAUUAGAAAACUAGAGAUAAAAAUGAGUUGAGAGUUGAAUUUUGCCAUGAAUUUUUCAUUAAUACUUGGACAACAAUUCUGCUAUAUCACUGUUCUAGAGCACAAACAAUUUUCUGUCAUUCAGUGAUAACAGCAGAAUGGUCAUCUGUCUAUCAUUGUAAUAAAACCAUUUUGUCAGAAAAGGUUGUUGGAUACAAUGAAUUCUAGGCUAUCAAAUUAACCAUUAUCUAUCCACCCCAGACAACCUUCAGACUGUGUUUCUCCUCUAAAAAUUAAAAGAUACAACAUUGUAGAUCUCAGGUCACUGGCACAUGAAAACUUUCCCAUUAUAUCAGGUUUUUUUAUAAAUAAUACUCUCUGAAAAUUUACAUAUUCACACUCCAAUAUGGAUCUUUACAAAAUAAUCCUUGUUGUGUGAGCAGAAAAAUCCCAAUGCAUUAAGACAGGUAAACUUAUAACAUAGAGACAAAUAAUUUUGUGCUCUGGAUUUAAAUAGAGAUAUAUUCCUUAGUGUUGCAGCUUUCUUCAGAUCUUUCCUAAGAUCUGUUACCUAGUUGUAUUUUAUGUAGGUGAAGUGUCACAGCAAUGGCUAUACCCCUAGUGAAAAAUAA